rnacentral:rRNA from 1 species
GGGUUGUGAGGUUAAGCGACUAAGCGUACACGGUGGAUGCCCUGGCAGUCAGAGGCGAUGAAGGACGUGCUAAUCUGCGAUAAGCGCCGGUAAGGUGAUAUGAACCGUUAUAACCGGCGAUUUCCGAAUGGGGAAACCCAGUGUGUUUCGACACACUAUCAUUACGUGAAUACAUAGCGUAAUGAAGCGAACCGGGGGAACUGAAACAUCUAAGUACCCCGAGGAAAAGAAAUCAACCGAGAUUCCCCCAGUAGCGGCGAGCGAACGGGGAGGAGCCCAGAGCCUGAAUCAGCAUGUGUGUUAGUGGAAGCGUCUGGAAAGGCGCGCGAUACAGGGUGACAGCCCCGUACACAAAAGCGCAUGUGCUGUGAGCUCGAUGAGUAGGGCGGGACACGUGGUAUCCUGUCUGAAUAUGGGGGGACCAUCCUCCAAGGCUAAAUACUCCUGACUGACCGAUAGUGAACCAGUACCGUGAGGGAAAGGCGAAAAGAACCCCGGCGAGGGGAGUGAAAAAGAACCUGAAACCGUGUACGUACAAGCAGUGGGAGCACAGGUUUACCUGUGUGACUGCGUACCUUUUGUAUAAUGGGUCAGCGACUUAUAUUCUGUAGCAAGGUUAACCGAAUAGGGGAGCCGCAGGGAAACCGAGUCUUAACC